rnacentral:rRNA from 1 species
UUUAUUGGAGAGUUUGAUCCUGGCUCAGGAUGAACGCUGGCGGCGUGCCUAAUACAUGCAAGUCGAGCGAAUGGAUUGAGAGCUUGCUCUCAAGAAGUUAGCGGCGGACGGGUGAGUAACACGUGGGUAACCUGCCCAUAAGACUGGGAUAACUCCGGGAAACCGGGGCUAAUACCGGAUAACAUUUUGAAGCGCAUGGUUCGAAAUUGAAAGGCGGCUUCGGCUGUCACUUAUGGAUGGACCCGCGUCGCAUUAGCUAGUUGGUGAGGUAACGGCUCACCAAGGCAACGAUGCGUAGCCGACCUGAGAGGGUGAUCGGCCACACUGGGACUGAGACACGGCCCAGACUCCUACGGGAGGCAGCAGUAGGGAA